CGUUAAGGGCGUCGAGCGGCGGACGGGUGAGUAAUGCCUGGGAAAUUGCCCUGAUGUGGGGGAUAACCAUUGGAAACGAUGGCUAAUACCGCAUAAUGCCUUCGGGCCAAAGAGGGGGACCUUCGGGCCUCUCGCGUCAGGAUAUGCCCAGGUGGGAUUAGCUAGUUGGUGAGGUAAGGGCUCACCAAGGCGACGAUCCCUAGCUGGUCUGAGAGGAUGAUCAGCCACACUGGAACUGAGACACGGUCCAGACUCCUACGGGAGGCAGCAGUGGGGAAUAUUGCACAAUGGGCGCAAGCCUGAUGCAGCCAUGCCGCGUGUAUGAAGAAGGCCUUCGGGUUGUAAAGUACUUUCAGUCGUGAGGAAGGUAGUGUAGUUAAUAGCUGCAUUGCUUGACGUUAGCGACAGAAGAAGCACCGGCUAACUCCGUGCCAGCAGCCGCGGUAAUACGGAGGGUGCGAGCGUUAAUCGGAAUUACUGGGCGUAAAGCGCAUG
rnacentral:rRNA from 1 species